rnacentral:rRNA from 1 species
GAUGAACGCUGGCGGCGUGCUUAACACAUGCAAGUCGAGCGAGAAACUACAUGCAGACACUUCGGUAGAAGCGAGUAGCGGAAAGCGGCGGACGGGUGAGUAACGCGUAGGCAACCUGCCCUUCACAGAGGUAUAGCCUCGGGAAACCGGGAUUAAAACCACAUAAAAUCAUAGGUUCGCAUGAACCAAAGGUCAAAGAUUUAUCGGUGAAGGAUGGGCCUGCGUCUGAUUAGCUGGUUGGUAGGGUAAAAGCCUACCAAGGCGACGAUCAGUAGCCGACCUGAGAGGGUGAUCGGCCACAUUGGAACUGAGACACGGUCCAAACUCCUACGGGAGGCAGCAGUGGGGGAUAUUGCACAAUGGGGGAAACCCUGAUGCAGCAACGCCGCGUGAGGUAUGAAGGCCUUUGGGUUGUAAGCCUCUGUCCUAGGGGAAGAAAAAAAAGACGGUACCCGAAGGAGAG